GACGAAGGUGGCUAGCGUUGUUCGGUGUCACUGGGCUUAAAGCGUAUGUAGGCGGAAAAGUAAGCGUUUUGUGAAAUCCCUCGGCUCAACCGAGGAAUUGCUUGACGAACUGCUUUUCUUGAGGCAAGUAGGGGUGCAUGGAACUCUUGGUGGAGCGGUGGAAUGCGUAGAUAUCAAGAGGAACGCCAAUGGAGAAAUCAGUGCACUGGGCUUGUCCUGACGCUGAGAUACGAAAGCGUGGGGAGCGAACGGG
rnacentral:rRNA from 1 species